rnacentral:rRNA from 1 species
UGGGGAAUAUUGCACAAUGGGCGCAAGCCUGAUGCAGCCAUGCCGCGUGUAUGAAGAAGGCCUUCGGGUUGUAAAGUACUUUCAGCGGGGAGGAAGGCGAUAAGGCUAAUAACCUUGUCGAUUGACGUUACCCGCAGAAGAAGCACCGGCUAACUCCGUGCCAGCAGCCGCGGUAAUACGGAGGGUGCAAGCGUUAAUCGGAAUUACUGGGCGUAAAGCGCACGCAGGCGGUCUGUCAAGUCGGAUGUGAAAUCCCCGGGCUCAACCUGGGAACUGCAUUCGAAACUGGCAGGCUAGAGUCUUGUAGAGGGGGGUAGAAUUCCAGGUGUAGCGGUGAAAUGCGUAGAGAUCUGGAGGAAUACCGGUGGCGAAGGCGACCCCCUGGACAAAGACUGACGCUCAGGUGCGAAAGCGUGGGGAGCAAACA